rnacentral:rRNA from 1 species
AGUGAACGUUGGCGGCGUGGAUUAGGCAUGCAAGUCGAGCGAGAACCGUAGCAAUACGGGGACAGCGGCGAAAGGGACAGUAAUGUGUAGGUACCUACCUCCGGGUUCGGGAUAGCUGCGGGAAACUGCAGGUAAUACCGAAUAACGUCUCCAGACCAAAGGUGUGAUUCCACCUGGAGAGGGGCCUGCAUCCUAUUAGCUUGUUGGCGGGUAACGGCCCACCAAGGCGACGAUGGGUAGCGGGUGUGAGAGCACGACCCGCGUCAUUGGGACUGAGACACUGCCCAGACACCUACGGGUGGCUGCAGUCGAGGAUCUUCGGCAAUGGGCGCAAGCCUGACCGAGCGACGCCGCGUGCGGGAUGAAGGCCUUCGGGUUGUAAACCGCUGUCGUAGAGGAGGAAGUGCAGGGGGGUUCUCCCCUCUGUUUGACCUAUUCUAGGAGGAAGGACGGGCUAAGUUCGUGCCAGCCGCCGCCGUAA